ensembl:lncRNA
CUCAUUUCCAAAUAGAACCUUGACUGAAUUCUUGCUAUGAAAAGUUCAUCAAGUCUAGUGAAUGAGGCAAGUAACAGAUGAGGAAACUUAAGGCUGGACACUUUGAUGGAGGGAAGAUAGGACUGAUUUUGUAAUUCAAUAGAUGCCCAAACUUUAGAUCUCUUGGUGCAAAAACAGGAGAGCUGAUGGAUUUGGUAUCUCAGUUUCAAGAAGUGAAUGGAAGACUGCA